rnacentral:rRNA from 1 species
CAGCAGCCACGGGAAUACGGAGGGUGCAAGCGUUAAUCGGAAUUACUGGGCGUAAAGCGCACGCAGGCGGUCUGUCAAGUCAGAUGUGAAAUCCCCGGGCUUAACCUGGGAACUGCAUUUGAAACUGGCAGGCUAGAGUCUUGUAGAGGGGGGUAGAAUUCCAGGUGUAGCGGUGAAAUGCGUAGAGAUCUGGAGGAAUACCGAUGGCGAAGGCAGCCAUCUGGCCUAAUACUGACGCUGAGGUACGAAAGCAUGGGGAGCAAACAGGAUUAGAGACCCCAGUAGUCCCUGUCUCUUAUAA